GACGGAGGGUGCAAACGUUGUUCGGAAUUACUGGGCGUAAAGGGCUCGUAGGCGGCCAACUAAGUCGGACGUGAAAUCCCUCGGCUUAACCGGGGAACUGCGUCCGAUACUGGAUGGCUUGAGUUCGGGAGAGGGAUGCGGAAUUCCAGGUGUAGCGGUGAAAUGCGUAGAUAUCUGGAGGAAUACCGGUGGCGAAGGCGGCAUCCUGGACCAACACUGACACUGAGGAGCGAAAGCCAGGGGAGCAAACGGG
rnacentral:rRNA from 1 species